UUUCCGGUUCGGAUGUCUAUCCUUGUGGGUCUCCCCACCGUGCCUCGGAGAGCACGUUAAGCCGUCGGUCUUGGUUGCUAUCAUAAAUACCAGAUAGCGAUUGUUAGGGGAGAGUGGGGUAAUUACGAACACUUAAGGGAAAACUGAAAUUGAACAAAACCAGAUUAAGUUACGAAUUUCACCCAAUGUUCAUA